rnacentral:rRNA from 1 species
UACAGAGGGGGCAAGCGUUGUUCGGAAUUACUGGGCGUAAAGGGCGCGUAGGCGGCCUACUAAGUCGAACGUGAAAUCCCCGGGCUCAACCCGGGAACUGCGUCCGAUACUGGUGGGCUUGAAUCCGGGAGAGGGAUGUGGAAUUCCAGGUGUAGCGGUGAAAUGCGUAGAUAUCUGGAGGAACACCGGUGGCGAAGGCGGCUCUCUGGACGGUGACUGACGCUGAGACGCGAAAGCGUGGGGAGCAAACAGG